UAAGAACAAAACCUUAAUCCCACCACCCUCCGUCGACGGUGAUGCUCUGAUGACCCACAAAAUUACACCAUCUCACCUCCUCGAUCUCUUCUUUCCAUUUUUGCCAUUGGUAUCCUUCCAAUAGCAGCCAAACUCGUCGAAUAUUCGUUUGAAUCGAUGAUUGCUCCGCUACACAUGGCGGCGCCAAUGACAAAUGACUAAAAUCAACACCCGAGCAUCCCCACUAUCCCCUCUCCAAUAAUCCAUGGCUGACAACCCUCGAAUCCUCCAUCUCUUUGAAUCUUAGAUCGCCGUCGAGCCCUAAAAAGUAAAAAUCAAGUUCCUUUGUUGUUCUCGGUUCAAAAUGAUUUUAGUCAUAUGCUCUCUAGGAGAACAUACGAUUAAUAUCCUUUUAAACCAAAUACAUGAAGUUUGAGGAUUUGAGAAUCUUGGUUCAAAUUAUAGUAAGUUUCCUUUUCGUUUUGUAGCUUUCAUUAUGGUCGUCCUUUCUGCUUUCUUCUACUAGAUUUCUUCUCUUAGCAUUCCUUUUUACAUGCAUAUUGAGUUUUAGGAAGUUUUUUUUAUUAAUUAGUUUGCCUAUUAGGUAACUGUGAUCCACGUUAUUGUUAGUUCUGUAGUUGAAAGAAAAGGAAGAAGAGGAAAAGAAAGACGUUAAAUGACUUGAUUGCUUCUGCUUCAUUGUCGUUUCAAUCAGGGGUUUUGGUAAGAUUUUGUUUCAGGCUGGGGUUUUUUACCACUAAAUUUUGGGGCUGGUUUGGAUUAAACCUAGGAAAUCAGCAGCCCAGUGUUACUUUAGUUGGGUCAAUCUAGACCCAUUGAAUUGGGUCGUUUGGCCCGGACCUUUGUUUGGUAGAAUAGAGGUAAAAUACAGGGGUUGUAAGGGUUAGUUCAGGAAUUAUAGAAUAGGGAAUCUUCCAUAAAAGACAUGGAAGCUUCUAGCAGGGAUAUCUUGCUAAUUUUGGUUUUAUAACUUGGUUAACAAGUUUUAAAAUGAAGGACUAGAUUAAAAUAAAAAGAUUUGAAGGCUGCCCUACUUUGCUUGCCUAUAAAGGCAUUGCAAACCUGCAUUUCAAGGUAGAUCCUAAGACUGGCAGAAUUGUGAAAACUCAAAAAGGUUUUUAGGAGUCUAAAUAUAAAAGAAAACUAAUAUUUUAUUGAAAGAAAGAGAGGGCUAAAAAUAGAGAGAAAUUUGAGGCGGAUGUUGUUUUUAAUCAUUGUUCCAUGGAGACUUAAUUUUGAACUUUGGAGUCUUUUUGAAUAGCUGAAGCAAAUUUAAAAUUUACAUUGAUUUUAAAAUGGUUUGAGGUUGAAUUUUUGAAAUUUCUGGUCUAAGCUGCUUUGAAAUCACUGUUCCAUUGGUUUCAUACCUUGAGAAUUCAACCUCUUGGACCUGGGAACGAUCUGGUGCUAUUACUGUUACUUUUCUCACCUUUUCGUUUGUUUUAUCCAUGUAUUUCCUUGGCUCAUGGUUGAGGUUUGAUUGUUGAGCACGAAAUAGUCGAAGUUUUGUUAAAUGAAGACCUUAUUUGAUGCUGAAUAUCUCCUCUCUUUUACUGUUUCAUGUUCUAUAAUUAGAGUUUAAGAAAUAAAUGUUAAUUAAGGCUUCCUAUUCCUUUGAAAUAUAGUGUGUGAGAAUAAUGUGGUGUUGUACUUUGCAUUCUGUGUCCAUAAUUGAACAUUGGACUUUAAUUGUCUGAGUUCAUGUUGGAUGCUGCAUCUGGGUGCUAGUAUUUGUGAAUGUCUGGCUAAGGAUCACUCAGAUUUGGUCUUGAAAUUCAUAGUCGAUACUCUAGGGUAAUAUAUCUUUAAAUUUGUUUAUGUUUUUAGCUACAAUUAGCUGAUAUUGUCAUAUUAUUUGUGUUCAAUUAUCUAAAAAUAGAAAUGCUAACUCUUAUAGCAUGAAGUCCUGCCCGUUUAAGGUUCAGGACUGCAGAUGUGAUUCCAGCAUGAUUUGGGAUGAUUUGGAUGGUUGUUGAUUAUAUUAGCUUGCUAAACCUAUAUGUGGGCUAUUCGUGUAUUAGCUUGAGAUGUUAAGUGUGUAUUAACCGAAUGAUCUAUUCCCUCAACAUUAACUGUGAAACUGUUUGGUUUUGAGUGUGACUAAAAGCUGAAGUGUUUGCAG
rnacentral:lncRNA from 1 species